UACGUAGGGAGCAAUCGUUGUCCGGAAUCAUUGGGCGUAAAGCGCGCGUAGGCGGCCCUGUAAGUCCGUUGUGAAAGUCAAAGGCUCAACCUUUGAAAGCCGAUGGAUACUGCAGGGCUAGAGUCCGGAAGAGGCGAGUGGAAUUCCUGGUGUAGCGGUGGAAUGCGCAGAUAUCAGGAGGAACACCAAUAGCGAAGGCAGCUCGCUGGGACGGUACUGACGCUAAGGCGCGAAAGCGUGGGGAGCGAACAGG
rnacentral:rRNA from 1 species